AUUGAACGCUGGCGGCAUGCUUUACACAUGCAAGUCGAACGGUAACAGGUUAAGCUGACGAGUGGCGAACGGGUGAGUAAUGCAUCGGAACGUGCCCGAUCGUGGGGGAUAACGCAGCGAAAGCUGCGCUAAUACCGCAUACGAUCUGAGGAUGAAAGCGGGGGACCGUAAGGCCUCGCGCGAUGGGAGCGGCCGAUGUCAGAUUAGGUAGUUGGUGGGGUAAAGGCCCACCAAGCCGACGAUCUGUAGCUGGUCUGAGAGGACGACCAGCCACACUGGGACUGAGACACGGCCCAGACUCCUACGGGAGGCAGCAGUGGGGAAUUUUGGACAAUGGGCGAAAGCCUGAUCCAGCAAUGCCGCGUGCAGGAAGAAGGCCUUCGGGUUGUAAACUGCUUUUGUACGGAGCGAAAAGGUCCUUUCUAAUACAAGGGGCUCAUGACGGUACCGUAAGAAUAAGUACCGGCUAACUACGUGCCAGCAGCCGCCGUAA
rnacentral:rRNA from 1 species